AUCGUGUACCUCCCAAACUCACAUGGGCAGGCCUCAUCUCCUAACGGGUUCUGUCUCACAGGGGAGGCUCUGGAGCAGGCGACUUGCUGGUUGUGAGACCUGGGGCAAGUUACAGAAGCUCUUCUGGCCUGUUUCUUCAACUGCAAAAUAAGGACAAUUCUAUCUCUAACUCACAGGGCAUUUGUGAGGAUUAGUAAUUGUAAGCACAGUAACACAGCAAAUGCUCGCAUAACUUUCCUUUUUUCUUUUCUUUUUUUUUUUUUUUGGAGACGAGUCUCACUCUAUUGCCAAGGCUGGGAAUGCAAUGGUGCAAUCCGUGGCUCAUGCCUGUAAUCUCAGCACUUUGGGAGGCUGAGGCAGCAGGAUCCACUGAAGCCAGGAAUUCAAGAACAGCCUGCACAAAGAAGCAAGACCCCAUUUCUACAAAAAAUACAAAAACAUUAGGCAGGAGUGGUGGUGUGUGCCUGUAGUUCAGCUAACUCAGGAGGUUGAAGUAGGAGGAUCACUUGAGCACAGCAGUUAGAGGGUGCAGUGAGCUGUGUUCAGGCCACAGCACUCCAGCCUGGGUGAC
rnacentral:lncRNA from 1 species